rnacentral:misc_RNA from 1 species
UAUAUAUUAAAAAAGACCAAAAAUCAUAAGAAAUCCCUUAAAAUCACAACGGAAAAAUUAUAUUUAGAAAAGCAUGCAACAGCAACUAGAAUCUGGACAAAAAAUGUGAAGUACAAGUAGUAAUUUGUGACGAUAUUAAUUAAUUAAAUUUAAUAAACUCAAGCAUUAACCAACAGAUCAUCACACCCACACCCAAAAAGAGAAGAAAAACUAAGUCCAAUAAAUUCAAUUCAACUUUAUCUGCAAUUUCCAAAUGAUAAUCUGCACCUAUAUUCUAUGGAAUUUCUAAAUACAAAGCAAUAAAGAAUAGCUGAUAUAAAGAAAUAAAUAAUAGCAGAGAGACCCACAAACCUGAGAUUGAGAGAAAAGGUUGGAUUGUUGGCAAAGAGAAAUUGCACCAGAAAAUUAAAUGAUACUGCAAAAAAGAGAAGAAGCUUUCUGGACUAUGAGUCUGCCACACUGCUCUUCAAUUGCAAAAGUUCCUGCAUUUUGAUGGAUGAGUGCAGGUAAAGAAGAAUAAAAGAUCAAUGGAGCUUUUGGAGGCAAGAAAGAUUGGUAACAUUGCUUAUAAGUUCUGGUACUUUGGGGUUGAGAAAAAUAGAAAUGGGUGAAGAAUCAUGGUAGAACUAGGACCCAAAGUUAAGGUGGUGGAAGUGAAGAGAAUUGG